GCUGAUUUAGACCCCAUCAAAACUUGUGAAACAAUUGAGAAGAAAACCGGCAGAAAGACCGUGUUAGUCUCUCCUUUACCUCUACCAGCAGAUCCUGAGCAAGAAGAAGAAGAAGCAAAAAAACAAGAUGAUGAGAAGAAAGAAGAAGAUGAGGUAAUUAAUUUAAUGUAUUUUAUCGAUGACAACGAUCGGGAGAUAUUGAAAGAUCCAGAAUUCGUAGGACAUUUCGCAAACGAACGGUCGAGAUCGAAUAUCUCAAGUGAAGCUAGUCUUUUUAUUGAUAUAUCAAUUCCUUACAGGCAACAGACCCACCACCUAUUGUGACUGUGUUGUUAAAAAUGAAGAUGCACUGUGAAGCUUGUGCUUAUGUGUUACAAAAACGAAUCAAGAAAAUGGAAGGUACAAUAUAAUUUAAUUUUACACAACCUGAUUAUCCUAGUUGAUCGAGUUUUAUUAUGAUUCGAGUUCCAGUAAUUAAUUUUUAUUUACUUAUUUAUUAACUAACUUAUAAAAAAAAAAUUAAAUUUGGAUAAAUUCCUUAGAUUUUGUUCGUUCAAAUUCAACUUAAUUGCGAAUCUACAUGUUUAGGUGUGGACACAGUUGAAACAGAUGUGAUGAACGACCAAGUCAUGGUCAAAGGAUUAGUAGAUCCUCAAAAGCUCGUGGAAUAUGUGUACAGAAGAACAAGGAAACAUGUUUCCAUAAUCAAAGGAGAUGAUGAUGGUGGUGGCGACGUUGAUAAUGGUGAUGGUGCUGCUGCUGUUGAUGAUUCUGACCAUUCUUCAAUCGUUGAUGAUCAUGCCAAGACUUACGAUGAUGAUCAGUACUGGGGUCCCAAUUAUAACACUGAAAAUGUUUACGCUCCACAAAUAUUAUUUAGCGAUGAAGAUCCAAAUUCUUGUUCGGUAAUGUAAACUAAAAAAUAAAAAUCAUGCUAUCUUGGUAAUUUGUAUGAAACCCCUCCUUAAAUACUUAAUCCUUUACCAACUAUAAUAAUUAAUUUAAUAAAAUAAAAUUUCAGUGCAUCUAAUAUGAGCUCAAUAGUCAAUAAUGUUUAAGUCUGUAGCAAUCAAAAUAUUAAAAAAAUAAUAUAAUUAAAGAAUGAUUUAGAUGACUUUGUCUAAUAUCUAACGGCUCAGAUAAGGUGAGUGUUUUUGAACUUACUCUAUGCUGAGCUCACUGGAAAAUAGUUGUAAUUUAAUAUAUAAAAUAUUACUGAUAUUGUGAUAAUUUUGAGUUAAUUAAUCUCUUUUGAUAAAUUACGUAAAAUAUAAAUAAAAAUUAAAAUAAAUAUACUGAGAUUUGAACCUUAAAUAGUUAAAUCUCCCGUCACCUUAAUAGAGCCAUCAUCUGGGAAUGUCCUCCAUCUUCGAGUGGAACGAAUGGAGGUGAGCCUCUGGGUCUGUUGUCUCAUUGUACAUUGUCAGACGGGGUGCCUUCCAUCCCGUCAAGUAGACUUCCUCGAUCCACGAGGUGCGGUGCCGAGGCCUCCUCGAUCCCCUUGGUUGAGAAUGAUCAAUAAUAUAUAUCUAGUAGAUGAUUGAGCUCGGCAAAACAAAUGUGUCUACUUUUUCAAGAGGAAUCCUGGCCUGAUUCAAAGAGAAACAAGCUAUCUAGUAUGGAAGAGGCCAGUAGUCAUCCGAACAGUACCCCCCAUGAAUUUCUGCGAUCUGCCAUUCUGGAAUUUUAAUUUAAAAAAAACAAAGAACCUGUAAACAGUAAACGAUCUUCCCAACUAUUAUUAGAGUAGUUAUCAAAACCGAAAGUCUGUUAAAUAGUUAGGAAUUAUUAAUUAUAAAUAUUAAUAUACAAACAUUGUAAUCAUUCAAUCAAGUAUUAUACAUUGUAAUCUCCAUUACAAUUAAGUUUACCUUGUUCAAUAUGGUACCAGAGCUAGAAGAAGACGGUUAUACCUCUUCUCACAUAGGUCGACUAGCUUCCACUGCAGAGAAAGAAACAGGGAUGAACGCUAAUACUUUAAGAAAAUUGACCACCAAACAGAUCAAAUGUGUUGUGCUAGCUGGAGGAUCAGAACUUCUUUUGCUGGAAAACAUAAUUUUCAGCAUUAUUGAAAGGUUAUCACCUCCUGGAUUACGUCGACGGGAAGGUGGAAAUCACGCCGGGAACCAUCACCGAGCAAUAAGAUGGCCAGCUAAUUUUAAGCUGGAUCCUCACGUCGAUUUCACCCUCCAUCUUCAUACAGGUUAGCGCGCUGACGACGUCCGCCGAGGUCUGGAAAUAUCUUGCCGAUAUGUUCGCGUCUAAUUCCGAGACGCGGGUGCUUCAUCUUCGCUUCCAAUUGCAGAGCAUCAAGAAGGAAGAUCUAAGCAUGCUAGAUUUCUUGAAAAAGAUUUCAAUUGCCAAAGAUAGAUUGGCUGCUGCGGAAGAAGGACUCAAGGAUUCCCAAAUCAUCUUGAUAGCAUUGGGCGGACUUGGGUCCGAGUACCAACCAUUCGUGACAUCGGUCACAACCAGGUUUGAUAGCAAGAUGACUUUCCCCAAUUUAAAAGAAUUUUACCGGAUCAUGAUCUACAACUCUCAACAACAUCGACACCCAUACGGAAUGAAGCAAAUGUUGUUGUGAAAAAUAAAAACG
rnacentral:lncRNA from 1 species